rnacentral:lncRNA from 1 species
CUCAAUCAGUGCUUCCCGUUCUUCCCUCAAACAGCCGCAAAAUGUUCUUCGAGCUAUCAAUCUUCUCUCAACGGCGGGAAAUCUAGGCGGGAUGUUUAGAGAAAAGAGAGGAGUCCUAAUUAGGAUUCUUCUUAACCCAAGCGAGAUCGAAGGCAAUAUAAAAGGGAUACUGCUCCUUUGAUCACCACACAAUUGACUACUCUCUUGUCUCCAUAAGGUGUUCUUCGGUCAAUUUUCCAGUGUUCAAUUUGCAAGGAGAUAAUGACUACUGGAAAGCUAUCCAAGUUGGAGCACUUUGAAACAGAUGAAAAGAUGGCGAAGAGAUGAAGAUAGUGUCAAUCAAUGCAGACAAUUUGGAACAUGAGGAAUUUGAUGAAGAUGAUGAAUUUUGAUUCGUAAAGUGGUUUUGAGCAAUAAUUAGUUUAGGUUUUAGCUAGUCUUGGUAAACUCUUCUUUUUUAUUAACUAUUAUUAUUUUUGGGUAGAAUAUUUGUAGACUUUAUUUGGGUUAUGAUUUAGUAAGUCUUCAAAUAUUAUUAUUU